rnacentral:lncRNA from 1 species
AUGACUUACCGGAUAAAUCAUAUUAAUUUUUCCAAUCUUGCCCAAUGUCAAGAUAACAUCUGUACUUCCAGUUUUGUAAUUUGGUUUGCUUUGGAAAUGAACAUGUUGCUAAGCUCAUAUUGUCAAAAUGCUGGUAGCAGCCCAGCCUUCAACCACCUUGUAUGCAAGAGGAAUUGCUGUGUGCUCCCGAUUGAUUGUCCACCGAGGAAGGUUUCCCAUUUGCUCCAGGAAGAAGAAAUGCCAGAUGUAGAAAUUGACAUUGACGAUCUUCUUGAUGCAGACAGUGAGGAAGAGAGAGCUUCAAAAUUACAGGAAGCUCUUGUAGACUGCUACAAGCCAACGGAGGUAAACAAAUCACUUUUCCUUAAUGCUGUGUUUGCAUUGAUUUUUAUUAAAUCAAUUUGUCUACUCUUAAAGCUAAACCACGAUAAACGGGGUUGA